UACGAAGGGGGCUAGCGUUGUUCGGAAUUACUGGGCGUAAAGCGCACGUAGGCGGAUUUGUAAGUCAGGGGUGAAAUAUGGCAGCUCAACUGUCAAGGUGCCAUUGAUACUGCGGAGCUUGAGUACAGAUGAGGUAGGCGGAAUUGACGGUGUAGCGGUGAAAUGCUUAGAUAUCGUCAAGAACACCGAUAGCGAAGGCAGCUUACUAGGCUGUAACUGACGCUGAGGCACGAAAGUGUGGGGAUCAAACAGG
rnacentral:rRNA from 1 species